GCGGGCGUGGUGAAAUUGGUAGACGCGCCGGACUCAAAAUCCGGUUCCGCAAGGAGUGUCGGUUCGAGCCCGACCGCCCGCACCA
rnacentral:tRNA from 5 species